CAUUUCCUCUUUUUUUAUUUAACAAAAUUUAUAUACCGCUUUUAUAAUUUAUAUACAAAUUAUUAGGAGAGUAAGUUACAAAUAUACUGUAGUUUAUUCACUUAUAGGCUAGUUUACAUACUUUAUUCCUUCUUAUACUUCUAUCCCACCUUUCCUCCACAGAGCAUACACACUUCAGCCUCCACCUUCUCCAUUUUAUCCUGACAGCAAUAUUGUGAGCUAGGGCCAUAGCUCAGUGGUAGAACAACUGCUUAGCAUGCAGAAGGCAUCAGGUUCAGUCCCCAGCAUCUCCUGGUGGGACAGGGAGCGCUCCCUCUGCGCUUCGGAGGCUUCGCGUUGCUAUCGCUGAAGCCAAGGAGCCUGCAU